rnacentral:lncRNA from 1 species
AAGCUACAAAGGUAUAAUAUCAUAGCAGUGUGACACAGUAGUAAAGUCUACAUUCGUACAUGUAGAAGCAGUCAAUGGGUAGGCUAAGUGUGUACAUGUAGAAGUAGUAAAUAGAUAGACGAACUAUAAGCUACACGAUACUGCCCACAUGCACCGUAUAACUAAUAGCUCAGAACCCAAGAGUAUGACAGCAAAAUAAACUAUGAUUGAGGAGUAAAAGAGGUCAAACCUAC